rnacentral:rRNA from 1 species
AGAGUUUGAUCCUGGCUCAGGACAAACGCUGGCGGCGUGCGUAACACAUGCAAGUCGGACGCGGCUUUCCACUUCGGUGGGAAGGCGAGUGGCGGACGGGUGAGUAACACGUGGAUGACCUGCCCUGAUGUGGGGGAUACCCGCCAGAAAUGGUGGCUAAGACCGCAUACGGUCUGAGGGCUGAGGCUCUGAGAAGAAAGUUCUUUGGGGAACCAGGGAACGCAGCAGGAGGGGUCCGCGGGCGAUUAGCUAGUUGGUGGGGUAAGAGCCUACCAAGGCGACGAUCGCUAGCUGGUCUGAGAGGAUGAUCAGCCACACUGGGAUUGAGAACGGCCCAGACUCCUACGGGGGGCAGCAGUGAGGAAUUUUCGGCAAUGGGGGCAACCCUGACCGAGCAACGCCGCGUGCAGGACGACGGCCUUCGGGUUGUAAACUGCUUUUCUCUGGGACGAGCAAGGACGGUACCAGAGGAAGAAGCCCCGGCUAACUACGUGCCAGCAGCCGCGGUAAUACGUAGGGGGCGAGCGUUGUCCGGAGUUACUGGGCGUAAAGCGCGCGCAGGCGGUCAGGCAGGUGUGGGGUGACAGUGGUCGGCUUAACCGACCGAGUGCCUCGCAAACGGCGUGACUUGAGGGCCACAGAGGGACAUGGAACUCCAGGUGUAGUGGUGAAAUGCGUAGAUAUCUGGAAGAACACCAAAGGCGAAGGCAGUGUCCUGGGUGGUACCUGACGCUGAUGUGCGAAAGCCAGGGGAGCGAACGGGAUUAGAUACCCCGGUAGUCCUGGCCGUAAACGAUGACCACUAGAUGUGCGGGGUAUCGACCCCCUGCGUGUCGGAGUUAACGCAAUAAGUGGUCCGCCUGGGGAGUACGGUCGCAAGAUUAAAACUCAAAGGAAUUGACGG